rnacentral:rRNA from 1 species
AGUCCACGCCGUAAACGUUGGGCGCUAGAUGUGGGUCACAUUCCACGUGAUCCGUGUCGCAGCUAACGCAUUAAGCGCCCCGCCUGGGGAGUACGGCCGCAAGGCUAAAACUCAAAGGAAUUGACGGGGGCCCGCACAAGCGGCGGAGCAUGCGGAUUAAUUCGAUGCAACGCGAAGAACCUUACCAAGGCUUGACAUAUACAGGAAAACUGCAGAAAUGUAGUCCCCCGCAAGGGUCUGUAUACAGGUGGUGCAUGGUUGUCGUCAGCUCGUGUCGUGAGAUGUUGGGUUAAGUCCCGCAACGAGCGCAACCCUCGUCCUAUGUUGCCAGCACGUUAUGGUGGGAACUCAUGGGAGACUGCCGGGGUCAACUCGGAGGAAGGUGGGGAUGACGUCAAAUCAUCAUGCCCCUUAUGUCUUGGGCUUCACGCAUGCUACAAUGGCCGGUACAAAGGGCUGCAAUACCGCAAGGUGGAGCGAAUCCCAAAAAGCCGGUCUCAGUUCGGAUUGAGGUCUGCAACUCGACCUCAUGAAGUCGGAGUCGCUAGUAAUCGCAGAUCAGCAACGCUGCGGUGAAUACGUUCCCGGGGCCUGUACACACCGCCCGUCAAGUCA